UUGGGGUUUAAUAUUUCCUUUUACUUUAAUGCUUUUAAGUAUGUUUGGUUGGAUUUAAUUUUUAUUUUAAUUUAGUUAUUUACAUUAGUAAAAUUACUUUCAAACCCCCCCCCCCCUUUGUGUUUGACUUAAUUCUCGAACCGCAAAAAUUGGUCCUUGGGAGACGACCUAGGGGUCAUUCCCUAGCUAUACUGCAUUUCUAAUAUGCAAUCAAAUUUGUAUGGGCCGCGACACCCAUCAGUGGUAAAGUAUGAAUAUGGACAGCGAAAUCCACAACGUUCAACUUGAAAUUCUAAUGAUUACCAAUUCUCAAAUAGAGAUGGGUAAGACAUUUCGUGAGAAUGUUAGGGGGUCCUAGCCUAUAGGUUCUUAGGUUAUAACUGAUUAACCCCGGGUGGCAGCUAAUGGUGUUCCAGUUACUACACCUCGGGUGCAAGAACGACCUCAAGCUACAUAUUCAUACUAUCCAGAUGGUCAAGUCAAGUGGUCGAUCUUUGCCUAUAUUAAUGUGUUCUGUCAUUGCCUG
rnacentral:lncRNA from 1 species